rnacentral:lncRNA from 1 species
UUUCACACCCGUGGCUGGGGCGCGAAGGGGCCGUACCGCGCGCUUGAAGGCCGGCGUCCACUGCGCUGUCCGCAGAUGUUCGCGCUGACCCGGAGCGAACGCUCGUUCCCCGGACAGCGGGCGCGGCGGCAGGGCCGCAGGUGCACGCGCAGGUGGGCCUGGGGCCAGGGUCGAGGCCGCGCACCUGCUGUCCGCCACCGCGCACACAUUCCCGUGCCCUUCCGUCGGGAUCAUGGACGCGCCGUCUGUUAAUUGUAAGAGUCGCUAGAGAGGUUCCCGUGGCAUCACAACCCAGUGUGGCCAGCGCAAGGAGAACUAGUGGGAUGCACGCUACUUCCCCGGCCGUGGGCGCAGCACGGCAGUGACCCCGCGCAGUAACUAAAGGUUACACUGAAAUGACCAUUAUCUCCGAGUCAUCGUGAUUUUCAGGGGUGGCCCGGACGAGGUGCCACGCCUCUGUCCUCUGAGGGAGAAACGGCAUGUGUGGGGGUGCUGGCCGGUGCCCUAAAGGCUCUGGUGGCACCCGCUGUGUGCCGAGAGUGGGGAAGAGAGUGUGCACCGCUCAGCCAGGGCCUGGUGGCGAGGCCGCCAGGAAGGGACGGCGGGCCCGGCCAUGGUUCUCUGUGUGCCGCACACAGUCACUUCUGGCUUUUGUUGUUACUACUUUUAAUUUCAAGACACUCUGGAAAACUUUGAUUUGCUAAAGUAAUUUCCUUUUUUGUACCUUAGAAUGAGGCAUAGUUUUUUGGGUUUGGUUUUUUUUGUUGUUGCUGCUAAGAUUUUAUUUAUUUAUUUGAUAGAGCACAACCGGGGGAAGUGGCAGAGGGAGAAGCAGACUCCCCUCUGAGCAGGGAGCCCGACACGGGCCUUGAUCCCAGGAUCCAGGAUCAUGACCUGCGCUGAAGGCAGAUGUUUCACCGACUGAGCCCCCCAGGCGCCCCAGAGAUUUUACUUUUACACCCCAGUUGGGGUUACAGUGACUGGGGUGUUGUAGGGGUGUGUGGAGGCCCCCCCCCCCGCUUUGUGGACGGCGGCCAGGACCUCACACAGAGUGCAGGCUGCUGGCACCUGCAUGCAGACGUGGGGUUGGGCUGCCCCAGUCCCGUGUCACGGCUGUUUCGGGCUGGGCCGCGCAGGACGGCGUCUGAAGCGAAGAGUUCGGAACCGCGCCGGUCAGCGUCAGAGCCUCCGUGUAGGAUGGAGCGCUCACCAGUGGUGAAAUGUGCGGACAGUGAGAUUUACCGUCUUACCUACCUGAUGACUUACAGAGUGUAUGUUCCGGUCGGAUGCCCUGGACGAGAAGCAGUGAGUCCCUCUGGAAAGACUGACCUUGGCUCAACUCUGAGGAGCACAUUAUCUUCCAGACACAGGUUCCACCAGAUACGUUGCUAUAGCAACCCUGCUUCUGCCAGAUGUUCCUGCUGCCUUUUCAUCCCAGCAGCAACGGUUUUGGUGGUUCUCAGACGUGGCCUUGUCCCCGACUUCCCUCACUCGGAUUCCCUGGCAGAAUCCCGAUGUCCUCCAGGAGCCCGUCCUCUGAGGUUGGACCGUACGUACCGGGAAGACUCAUGCACGAGUCACGCUCGCGCUGCUUUCCCGCUGUUGCUGAAGCAGGGGGUGUUUGUCUCUGGCGCAUCGGCUAUAGCUGCCAACCCUUCAGCGUGAGCGGUUUUUGUUCUUGCUUUUCUGAAACAUUUGCUUUUUUGUGCUUUUUGUAUGAUUUCCCCCUCUUUGUGAUAGGUUUUUCUUCUGUCUUCCCCCUUUCUGAGUCUGCCUUUUAAAACGAAGUGAAUUUCUACUGUCUAUCCGUCUGUCUGUCCGUAUACUUCUGUCGAUCACCUGUCUGCCGUCCCCGCUCCUGGUGUCCGUGUGUCUCUCCUCCCUGCUUUGCUGAGUCAGGUCACGGCGGCUCCGUGCCGAGCACCUGACACCCGUCUCCGGCAUGACUCCGUGCCUUCAGCACGCACACCGGCUUGGCUGCGGUAAUACGGGAAGCUUCCACCCUGCAGGAACGCCCCCCAUCAUGCUCAACCCAGGACUUGCUCGAGGACCGCCGCCCCAAGCGCCUGCUCCCCUGACUGCGUGGGCAUGUGGUGUCGCUACAACCUGGUUUUCCUGUUCCUGUACAUUGGACUCAGGCUAGACGGUCGUGGCGAGAACACUGUAUCGGUGACCUUAUGCGAACGUUACUCUGAAAUCCGGUCCAGCCCAGCGGGUGGGGAGGGAGAGGCAGGUGCGGCCGACGUGUGUGCCGGGGAGCUGUGGCUGUGGCUCGAGGCCAGCCCGGUGCUUGCGUCAUCUUCACUGUGGGCUGGAGUGCCUGGCGGAGACGCCCUGUUGCUGUCUGCGUCUCUGUAGCGCCUUGCUCCCCCCGCCCCCGCCCAGUCCUGCCACGUCAGAGCCCUUGCCUGUGGGAAGGCCCGUGGCAGGAACUGGGCACCAAGCAUCGAGCUUACCCAAGAGGCCGUGUGGUGGUCACCGUGGACUGCGAGCUGUCCUUCCGUUCUCUGCCUGGAUUGCCACAUUUUAGAAUUCUCUUUAGACCCACACAAAACCAAAUGUUCUUUAACAUUUAACUGAGCCAAAGAAAUGCAAUUACCUAAUUUUAUAAGCA